ACUCUUUUAAGUGAUUAUCAGAUUACUUUUGAGUGUUUUUAGCUUAUAAAUUUUUCAAUAAAAUAUCGUUAAUAUUAUUCAUUUAUGUUCAUUUCACAUUUUAUUCCAACAAGACGUUAUAGUACCUAUUAUAAUUUUAUUAAACAAAAUGAUUGUUACAAAGCAUACUCUUCGGCUUCUAGUCGGAGUAUUAGUCAUUUAUUGCUGUAUUGAAACCACUGUUGGUGGAUCAAUUCGUGACGUAUUGAAUGAGGACGAACCGACUCCUGGUACAACGUUAUCUCCCAGUCAGACCGAGCAGAGCAGCGAUCCCACAACGUCCGAUACUUCUGUCACGUCAACCGAUCAUAAGACAGGAAGACCGAAAAUCCAUCGUCGUACAAGUAUGAUGCCGCGUAAGAAAACGACUACAACUACAGAGAUUCCACUAUCGACGGCAUCGGAAUAGAGGCCUUACGGUGGGCUAAGACCUAAGAUUGCUGCAAGACAUCUAUAAUAAUAUAAAAACAUUAUGACAAUACGUUACUAUGAAUUUAUAUAAAUUAAACCAAAUUGAUUUUAUUCAAGAAUAAAAUAAAAAAUUUCGAGCACUCAUAUAUUAGUUGUAUCAUGUAUGUUAUACAGUCAAUCCAUAAAAAGUUAUGAUACUUUCA